UGAGAGACAACUGAGAGAGACAGGAGGAAGAAGAAAGCUGGACAUGAAGGUCUGGCCCCGUGGCCCAAAGGAGCACAUGGUCCCUCAUCACUUGCUGAGCCACCAGGCAAUUAACUUCAAGAGCAAGACGACCAAAUCUCCAUCUUUACAGAUCCAACCUCGACCAAGAUGUCCAUUGAGCAGGAGGUGACAUUGCCCACCACACCAAGGGUGAUCAUGCUAGGAAGAAGUUUGAUGUCGUCCACCCAUUGGAUGGUCAGCAUUGAGGGGAAGGUCCUCUUUGAAGCUAACCAACUUAAUGACUUCACCAGUGCUUUUGUCGUCUUCUUUGGCUCCUUUUAUGCGUUCAAUCUUGAAUAUCAAGAGUCAGCAUCUACUA